GCCGGAAUAGCUCAGCUGGGAGAGCAACAGACUGAAGUAUUCCGUCUUCUGGAGGUCCCGUGUUCAAUCCACGGUUCUGGCA